rnacentral:rRNA from 1 species
UACAGAGGUUCCAAGCGUUGUUCGGAUUCACUGGGCGUAAAGGGUGCGUAGGUGGCCUGGCAAGUCUGACGUGAAAUCUCCGAGCCUAACUCGGAAACUGCGUCGGAUACUAUCCGGCUUGAGGGUUGGAGGGGGGACUGGAAUACUUGGUGUAGCAGUGAAAUGCGUAGAUAUCAAGUGGAACACCAGUGGCGAAGGCGAGUCCCUGGACAACUCCUGACACUGAGGCACGAAAGCUAGGGGAGCAAACAGG